GACGAACGCUGGCGGCGUGCUUAACACAUGCAAGUCGAACGGAAAGGUCCUGCUUUUGUGGGGUGCUCGAGUGGCGAACGGGUGAGUAACACGUGAGUAACCUGCCCUUGACUUUGGGAUAACUUCAGGAAACUGGGGCUAAUACCGGAUAGGAGCUCCUGCUGCAUGGUGGGGGUUGGAAAGUUUCGGCGGUUGGGGAUGGACUCGCGGCUUAUCAGCUUGUUGGUGGGGUAGUGGCUUACGAAGGCUUUGACGGGUAGCCGGCCUGAGAGGGUGACCGGCCACAAUGGGACUGAGAUACGGCCCAGACUCCUACGGGAGGCAGCAGUGGGGAAUAUUGCACAAUGGGCGGAAGCCUGAUGCAGCAACGCCGCGUGCGGGAUGACGGCCUUCGGGUUGUAAACCGCUUUCGCCUGUGACGAAGCGUGAGUGACGGUAAUGGGUAAAGAAGCACCGGCUAACUACGUG
rnacentral:rRNA from 1 species